rnacentral:rRNA from 1 species
UACGUAGGGAGCAAGCGUUGUUCGGAUUUACUGGGCGUAAAGGGCGCGUAGGCGGCAAAUUAAGUCAGCUGUGAAAUCUCCGAGCUUAACUCGGAACGGUCAGCUGAUACUGAUCUGCUAGAGUGCGGAAGGGGCAAUCGGAAUUCUUGGUGUAGCGGUGAAAUGCGUAGAUAUCAAGAGGAACACCGGAGGUGAAGACGGGUUGCUGGGCCGACACUGACGCUGAGUGCGCGAAAGCCAGGGGAGCAAACGGG